GUCCACGCCGUAAACGAUGGGCACUAGGUGUGGGAGGUGUCGACUCCUCCCGUGCCGGAGCUAACGCAUUAAGUGCCCCGCCUGGGGAGUACGGCCGCAAGGCUAAAACUCAAAGGAAUUGACGGGGGCCCGCACAAGCAGCGGAGCAUGUGGUUUAAUUCGACGCAACGCGAAGAACCUUACCUGGGUUUUGACAUGUUCCUGACCGCCCUGGAAACAGGGUUUCCCUUAGGGGCAGGAUCACAGGUGGUGCAUGGCUGUCGU
rnacentral:rRNA from 1 species